CGGACGAUAAUGUGAAGAAGCCCAAGGCUCAAGAAGCUUAGACCCAAUGAACUAAACUCCCUUACUACCGCCGACCCCUCAUCGGCUACCCUCACGACCAAUUAGCUCUCGGCCACCAAAAGAUCGGUCGGUGCCCCGUUGUCUAAGCAACCGAGACUUCAGCCGCUAGCUUCUAGCAAGCUUCCCUCUCUAUAACUGGUUGUCCGGGCC
rnacentral:lncRNA from 1 species